rnacentral:miRNA from 1 species
CAAACUAUUCAACCAACCACCCAC